GGAGAGGUGGCAGAGUGGUUGAAUGCGGCGGUCUCGAAAACCGCUUCAGGUGCAAGCCUGACGAGGGUUCGAAUCCCUCCCUCUCCG
rnacentral:tRNA from 1 species